UUAGGUCUGGUGCUUUUCAUCCUUGCUGCCUCUUUACCUUGUUCUAAUCUGAUCUGUUGUAUCUGUUGUGCAAAGUAACAGACAUCAGAGCUCUGCGGCACUGCCUUCCAGCUCGGCCAUUCACGGGGUGCUGGGCGAGGGUGGACACUGGAGCCUGGCUGGGACCCCCCCACGGCAGGGACCCCCCCACGGCAGGGACCCCCCCACGGCAGGGACCCCCCCACGGGGGAGGUUUGUGGCCACGUGCCGGAGCUGUUGGGGCUCGGGGGGCUCUGCUCGGGCUGGUGCAAACACGGCAUUGCUCGUGUUCCACAUUCCUCUGUCAGAGGCUCUUUCUCUUCCAGCCUGUAAAGAGGGUUAAGAAAGGAAUUGUCUCUAUUAUGUUUUGCCUGCUGGCUCCAUAGGAGUGGCCCUGGCUUGCAGCUGAUGCCGUGGAAGGCUGGAACGUGCCGGUGCCAGACACAUGGAACAAAGCAUGGACUCUGGGUUUGGGUUCUGGCAGCAGGGACGUUUGGGGCACCCUUGUGGGUGACACUGCUCCUCCAGCCCUGGCCCCGAGGCAGGGACCGCACUGAAAGCGCACACACAGCUCUUCUGCUUCUUCAGCAGCCGAAUACGGAGGGAGAAUGAAAUUAGCAGUAAAAGCAUUAAAAUAUUGAUAGCAAUCAUUCCAUGUCCUGGCUUUA